UAGGGAAUCUUCCGCAAUGGACGCAAGUCUGACGGAGCAACGCCGCGUGAGUGAAGAAGGAUUUCGGUUCGUAAAACUCUGUUGUUAGAGAAGAACAGCGCAUAGAGUAACUGUUAUGCGUGUGACGGUAUCUAACCAGAAAGCCACGGCUAACUACGUGCCAGCAGCCGCGGUAAUACGUAGGUGGCAAGCGUUGUCCGGAUUUAUUGGGCGUAAAGCGAGCGCAGGCGGUCAAUUAAGUCUGAUGUGAAAGCCCCCGGCUCAACCGGGGAGGGUCAGUGGAAACUGGUUGACUUGAGUGCAGAAGAGGAGAGUGGAAUUCCAUGUGUAGCGGUGAAAUGCGUAGAUAUAUGGAGGAACGCCAGUGGCGAAGGCGACUCUCUGGUCUGUAACUGACGCUGAGGCUCGAAAGCGUGGGUAGCAAACAGG
rnacentral:rRNA from 1 species